CCAAUUGAUAGUCGAGUCAGUGACACAGAGACGGGCCAAUAGUAAAGUGGCCGUAUCCCUUUCGCUUUUGAUUCUAUCUUUAAGGGCUUGGGACUCUUGUAUUUUGUUCGUCCAAUUUCGAAACAAGACAAAAGGAGGGUUCGAAUCAAAAUGAUCAAGUCAUUUGAAAAGAAUGUGCCCCGAAUGUAUAAAAAAAAAAAGAAAAAAAAGAAGUCAAGAUUUCAUUUUCCUCCGCUUCUAUACCUGUUCUAAACAAAUGCGGAAAAAAAGGGGGGCUUGUUCCAGUUAAAAAACAUGUGCACUUUUCAAAAUGAAAAAAGUUCCCACUGGUAAAAACUGUGAGGCCUGCAUUUGUGCUUGGACCUUAUCAAAAUAUAUCUCGCCGUGUUCUCCCUCUCUUUUGGUGAGUGCGGAUGUUUUAGUUUUUUUGUUCCUGAACAAGGGAGGGGGUCCGUGUUCUGUGUGUACGUUGUUAAACCAUCAACUGAUGUACUUGUACGAUGUACACUGGACUGAAACACAGGGGAAACUUUCAAGCGAGGGUGAAAUAAAAAGGAAGGGAGAGUUGGCCCAGUCUCCCUAGAAACACACCGGCCGGAAAUGGCCGCAGCACAUCUGCACCCUCCCCCCUCUCUCUUUUUCUACUAACAACAAAGACCGAAAGAGAAAUGGUUGGGAAGCCAAAAAGACAGGAUCUAUUCAGCCGGUGGUAAAGGAAUCUUUCAAAUAUACCCCCCCAUUUUUUAAAAUUUCAUCAACAUCUUAUAAUGAAAUACAAAUAAGUUGUGGAAGUUGACAAAGGAAGCGAAGGAUUCAGUAACUGGAUGACAUUUCAGAUUGGCAGCGAGAUUGACGCACGACUCGGCAGUCGGAUCUAACGUUACAAGUCACUUAUAGACUAGCAGAGAUUUCGCAACAAAAAACAAAACACCCAACCUAAACAUAAAGAAGUUUUGUUCCUCAUUGCGACAUUGGAAUCAGCAACACGAAAUAUGAAUCCGGAACAAAGAUCAUUCCCGUGGAAUUCGAGCGUCCAAAAAUAACUAAACCAACAACAAAGUUGGUUCCGCGUACGUUUUCGGGACUUGUGACGCAACAGAGAGAACAAAAGAAAUGGACUGUUUUUCUUUUCUUAUUGAAAUUAAUGGCGACGGUAAAGGACGAUGCGUUUCACGUUUGAAAGAAAAAGGGGGAAAACAAAAUUUUGAUUUCUUCAAGUUGUUAGAUGAAAAUGUGGAUCAGUCACGGACCGAACGAAUGUUCGUGCGCCCGGAGGAAGCAAAAAAUUCACCUGUGAGUCGAUGCGGAUGUCAUGACGCGCGUUCCGUCUUUCAAAUGUCGAAUCUUGAUCGUCCAAGCAAAUAAUAAUUCAACGAAAGGCUGCAAUCUAAUAUCCGAGCACGAUUUGAGCCGUCUUGAACUCGUCACACAAAUUUCGUUGGCUGGCCAAUGAAACGACACGCUUCGAACGCAGCCAAAACAAAGUCACCGUCUCGACACUGACGUGUAUGUCAAAACACUGGGGUCCUUUUAAUUGAUGUAUAAUAAAGGAGAAAAGAAGAAUAAUUAGUGAUGAAUCAAUGAACUCACUCACUGACAAAGUCACGCUCUACUGGAGGAGGAAAACAAGAAGUCACGCGGAGAGCAGGCGGAUGCGUGUCGAGCAAGGAGAAUCGCUCGAAACGAACUGGUAGCCGUUCACGUGUCGACAGACGAUCUCUAUACUUGGGGGGGCUUCCUCCUGCCAUCUACCCCCUUUGUUUUUGGCUCGAUGUUUACUAUACUACGCUUCUUGCAAUAAGCAGACUUGACAGUCAUCCGACAGAGCCAUCUAGCGACGAAAUGUCGAACCACAAUGGAAGACGGUUGAAAUAAUAAUAAAUAACAAAUGAAGUUGACGAAAGAAAGAAAUUCAAAACCACAAAGUCUUUCUAGUGAUGAGAGAGAAAGACGAUUGAAGCGCGAUGGGAAAAGAAAAGAAAAACGAGGCAACACAUUUCUUCGAAGCCUCGUUAUAACAGCGUCAAAGCGGUUGACUAGGAAAGAAGGACGAACAAAAUAAAAUAUAUUGAAAGAAACAAUGGACUUUCUCUUCGACAAUUCACGAAAAUCGCGAACUUCAUUGUUGUGUCACAUAAAAAUCCGUCACCCUUCAAAUAGGCAAAAUGGAGGUCGUUUUCCACGAACGACAAGAGAAAGAAGAAGCCAACGACGACCUACAGAUUUCCGAUUGUGUUUUCCUUCAUUCGAUAUGGCAUGGCAAAUGAAGGGCAGAACAAGAGAGGGUCGUGCCGACUCGCCACCUACGCCGGAACUGAGACAAUCAAUGAAAAAUGGGGACAUUGUCGGAUGGUAUUAACUCCUUUGAUCACCAACCCCAUUCGCCCCGUUAGGCGGCAAAGACAAAUCGAUCAAAUUAGCACAAAGAACCAGGAGGUCUAAACAACCAACGCCGGUCACCGUGUCCGUUUCCCUUUCACGAUUUUCUUUUCUAUUUGCUGAAAGAAAAAAAAAUAUAAUAAAUAAAAUGUCCAGUUCCUUUCA